rnacentral:rRNA from 1 species
CAGUAGCCGCGGUAAUACGUAGGUCCCGAGCGUUGUCCGGAUUUAUUGGGCGUAAAGCGAGCGCAGGCGGUUAGAUAAGUCUGAAGUUAAAGGCUGUGGCUUAACCAUAGUACGCUUUGGAAACUGUUUAACUUGAGUGCAGAAGGGGAGAGUGGAAUUCCAUGUGUAGCGGUGAAAUGCGUAGAUAUAUGGAGGAACACCGGUGGCGAAAGCGGCUCUCUGGUCUGUAACUGACGCUGAGGCUCGAGAGCGUGGGGAGCGAACAGGAUUAGAUACCCCAGUAGUCCCUGUCUCUUAUACA